rnacentral:rRNA from 1 species
CCUACGGGUGGCUGCAGUGAGGAAUAUUGGUCAAUGGGCGUAAGCCUGAACCAGCCAAGUCGCGUGAGGGAUGAAGGUUCUAUGGAUUGUAAACCUCUUUUAUAAGGGAAUAAAGUGUGGGACGUGUCCUGUUUUGUAUGUACCUUAUGAAUAAGCAUCGGCUAACUCCGUGCCAGCAGCCGCGGUAAUACGGAGGAUCCGAGCGUUAUCCGGAUUUAUUGGGUUUAAAGGGUGCGUAGGCGGCUUUUUAAGUCAGCGGUGAAAGUCUGUGGCUCAACCAUAGAAUUGCCGUUGAAACUGGGAGACUUGAGUAUGUUUGAGGCAGGCGGAAUGCGUGGUGUAGCGGUGAAAUGCUUAGAUAUCACGCAGAACCCCGAUUGCGAAGGCAGCCUGCCAAGCCAUGACUGACGCUGAUGCACGAAAGCGUGGGGAUCAAACAGGAUUAGAUACCCUGGUAGUC